rnacentral:rRNA from 1 species
AACGAACGCUGGCGGCAUGCCUAACACAUGCAAGUCGAACGAGACCUUCGGGUCUAGUGGCGCACGGGUUCGUAACGCGUGGGAACCUGCCCUUAGGUUCGGAAUAACUCCCCGACAGGGGUGCUAAUACCGGAUAAUGUCUUCGGACCAAAGAUUUAUCGCCUUUGGAUGGGCCCGCGUUGGAUUAGCUAGUUGGUAGGGUAAAAGCCUACCAAGGCGACGAUCCAUAGCUGGUCUGAGAGGAUGGUCAGCCACACUGGGACUGAGACACGGCCCAGACUCUUACGGGAGGCAGAAGUGGGGAAUAGUGGACAAUGGGCGAAAGCCUGAUCAAGCAAUGCCGCGUGAGUGAUGAAGGCCGUAGGGUUGUAAAGCUCUUUUACCCGGGAUGAUAAUGACAGUACCGGGAGAAUAAGCGCCGGCUAACUCCGUG